rnacentral:rRNA from 1 species
AACGAACGCUGGCGGCGUGGAUAAGACAUGCAAGUCGAACGCUUGUUACGGGGUAGCAAUAUUCUGUAGCAGGAGUGGCGGAAGGGUGCGUAACAUGUGGGUAAUCUGCCGUGAAGGCUGGGAUAACUUGCUGAAAGGCGAGCUAAUACCGGAUGAGAUAACCGAGAGGCAGCUUUUGGUUAUGAAAGUUGGGGACUGUAAAAGGCCUGACGCUUCACGAUGAGCCCGCAACCUAUCAGCUAGUUGGUGAGGUAAAGGCUCACCAAGGCUAAGACGGGUAGCUGGUCUGAGAGGACGACCAGCCACACUGGAACUGAGAGACGGUCCAGACACCUACGGGUGGCAGCAGUCGAGAAUUUUUCACAAUGGGCGCAAGCCUGAUGGAGCGACGCCGC